rnacentral:rRNA from 1 species
CCCCUAGAUGUUCUGGGCCGCACGCGCGCUACACUGACGAAUGCAACGAGCUUAUAACCUUGGCCGAAAGGUCUGGGUAAUCUCCAAAUUUCGUCGUGAUGGGGAUAGAUUAUUGCAAUUAUUAAUCUUCAACGAGGAAUGCCUAGUAAGCGCAAGUCAUCAGCUUGCGUUGAUUACGUCCCUGCCCUUUGUACACACCGCCCGUCACUCCUACCGAUUGAAUGGUCCGGUGAAGCGUUCGGACCGUGGCCUUUGGACGGUUCGCCGUCUGUUGGCUGCGGGAAGUUCGUUAAACCUUAUCAUUUAGAGGAAGGAGAAGUCGUAACA